GACGAACGCUGGCGGCGUGCUUAACACAUGCAAGUCGAACGGUGACCCAGGGCUUGCCCUGGUGAUCAGUGGCGAACGGGUGAGUAACACGUGGGCAACCUGCCCCUGACUUCGGGAUAACUCCUCGAAAGAGGAGCUAAUACCGGAUACGACCACUUCGGACAUCCGAUGGUGGUGGAAAGUUUUUCGGUCAGGGAUGGGCCCGCGGCCUAUCAGCUAGUUGGUGGGGUAAUGGCCUACCAAGGCGACGACGGGUAGCCGGCCUGAGAGGGCGACCGGCCACACUGGGACUGAGACACGGCCCAGACUCCUACGGGAGGCAGCAGUGGGGAAUAUUGCGCAAAUGGGCGAAAGCCUGACGCAGCGACGCCGCGUGAGGGAUGAAGGCCUUCGGGUUGUAAACCUCUUUCAGCAGGGACGAAGCGAAAGUGACGGUACCUGCAGAAGAAG
rnacentral:rRNA from 1 species